rnacentral:rRNA from 1 species
GACGUAGGGUGCAAGCGUUGUCCGGAUUUACUGGGCGUAAAGAGCGCGCAGGCGGUCGAUCAAGUCGAGUGUGAAAGCCCCCGGCUCAACUGGGGAGGGUCAUUCGAUACUGAUCGACUCGAAGGCAGGAGAGGGUAGUGGAAUUCCCGGUGUAGUGGUGAAAUGCGUAGAUAUCGGGAGGAACACCAGUGGCGAAGGCGACUACCUGGCCUGUUCUUGACGCUGAGGCGCGAAAGCUAGGGGAGCAAACGGG